rnacentral:rRNA from 1 species
UGGGGAAUAUUGCACAAUGGGCGAAAGCCUGAUGCAGCAACGCCGCGUGAGUGAUGAAGGUCUUCGGAUUGUAAAGCUCUGUCUUUUGGGACGAUAAUGACGGUACCGAAGGAGGAAGCCACGGCUAACUACGUGCCAGCAGCCGCGGUAAUACGUAGGUGGCGAGCGUUGUCCGGAUUUACUGGGCGUAAAGGGUGCGUAGGCGGAUGUUUAAGUGAGAUGUGAAAUACCCGGGCUUAACUUGGGUGCUGCAU